rnacentral:rRNA from 1 species
CGGAAAGCGACAAAGGGUACACAGUGGAUGCCUAGGCAUCUCGUGCCGAAGAAGGACGUGUUAUACUGCGAAAAGCUUCGAUGAGGUGUAUAAGGCCGUAAGAGUCGGAGGUAUCCGAAUGGGGAAACCUGUCGGGGUUCAAGUCCCGACAUCUUUGCUAUAAGCAGGGAGGGGAACCGUCCGAACUGAAACAUCUAAGUAGGGCGAGGAGAAGAGAGGAUUCUGCGAGUAGUGGCGAGCGAAAGCGGAACAGCCCAAACCAGUUGCUACGGCGGCUGGGGUUGUAGGACUUCUGAGUAGCUGUGGAUUGUUGAAGCGGAAAGGUCUGGGAAGGUCUGCCAUAGAGGGUGAUAGCCCCGUAAGCGCAGGCAAGCGCAGCGAGAAGUAUCCUGAGUACCACGAUACACGCUAACAUUGUGGGAAGCUGGGUGGUCCACCAUCCAAGGCUAAAUACACGAGAUGACCGAUAGCGCAGCAGUACCGUGAGGGAAAGGUGAAAAGAACCCCGGCGAGGGGAGUGAAAUAGAAUCUGAAAUUGUGUACUUACAACCGGUCGGGGGGUGUGGUCGAGCAGAUCAUGCCUGACGGCGUGCCUUUAGGAGAAUGAGCCAGCGAGUUAAUGCAAGUGGCGAGCUUAAGGCGGUGACAGCCGUAGGCGCAGGGAAACCGAGUCUGAAGAGGGCGUGCUGAGUGGCUUGCAUUAGACACGAAACCAGGCGAGCUAACCAUGGCCAGCGCGAAAGUGAGGUAACACUUACGGGAGGCGCGAACCCACCGAAGUUACAAAUUCGGGGGAUGAGUUGUGGUUAGAGGUGAAAUGCCAAACGAGCUUGGAGAUAGCUUGUUCUCCCCGAAAUAGCUUUAGGGCUAGCGUUGCGCGAUGGGUGCGGGAGGUAGAGCACUGUAUGGGCUAGGGGGCGUCAAGCUUACUGAACCCAAACAAACUCCGAAUGCCUGCAUGCCGAGCGCGGCAGUUGGGCUGUCUGAGAUGAGUUAGGCAGUCGAGAGGGAAAGAACCCAGACCCUCGUCUAAGGUCCCGGAGUGUAUGCUAAGUGGAAAACGAGGUGAUUGUGUUGAGACAGCUAGUAGGUUGGCUUAGAAGCAGCCAUCCUUUAAAGAGUGCGUAACAGCUCCCUAGUCAAACGCAAUUGCGCGGAUAAUGUAACGGGUCUAAAGCAUACCACCGAAGGCAGGGAUAACAUUAUAAGGUUAUGGUAGGGGAGCGUUCCAAUGGCGGUGAAGGGGUCUCGCGAGGGGCCUUGGAGCGAUUGGGAGUGCGAAUGCUGGCAUGAGUAGCGAGAAAUAGGUGAGAACCCUAUUCGCCGAAAGUCUAAGGUUUCCGACGGAAGGUCAGUCCGCGUCGGGUUAGUCGGGCCUAAGCCGAGGCUGAGAAGCGCAGGCGAUGGACAACGGGUUAAUAUUCCCGUACCGGUAUGUGGAGUAGCGAUUGCGGCUUGUGGGAGUGCCAGCCUCUGAGUGGAUUGAGGUGGCAAGCGGGGAGAGCCCGUGAGGCCGUGCUGAAAAGCAGGAAGUGGCAGUAGCCAUGGGACGAGAAAAGCGAUUGCAUACGAUGAGAUAUGCCGACCGUACCGCAAACCGACACAGGUAGACGAGUAGAGAAUACGAAGGCGAACGGGAGAACCUCUGCUAAGGAACUAGGCAAAAUGGAUCCGUAACUUCGGGAGAAGGAUCGCCGCAUACGAGGGUAUGCGGUUGCAGUGAAAAGGCUCUGCCGACUGUUUACCAAAAACACAGGUCUCUGCGAAAGCGCAAGCUGAAGUAUAGGGGCUGACGCCUGCCCAGUGCCGGAAGGUUAAGUGGAGCAGUGAGAGCUGCGAGAUGAAGCCCCGGUGAACGGCGGCCGUAACUAUAACGGUCCUAAGGUAGCGAAAUUCCUUGUCGGGUAAGUUCCGACCCGCACGAAAGGCGUAACGAGUGG